AUCCCCAUCCGGACUUCUAUGGGAACCAGACUCCGAUCGAACUUCUGUAGCAGAUAGAUUUCGGACGAACUCCUACGACGCACGGGCUCCAACAGCCGAACCCCUCCAGUGGGUGAACCUCUCCAACGCCAUCCGACAUCCACUGUCGGUCGACCUUCUGUCGGAUUCUACAUGAAACUGAACUUCAUCCACAGAAAGCCCCCAACCGAGCUUCGGCCGACAGGCCUG
rnacentral:lncRNA from 1 species